CACGGGGGGAGCAAGCGUUGUUCGGAAUCACUGGGCGUAAAGAGCGUGUAGGCGGCUUCACAGGUCCGCUGUGAAAACUCGAGGCUCAACCUCGAGCUGUCGGUGGAAACCGUGUGGCUAGAGUCCGGAAGAGGAGAGUGGAAUUCCCGGUGUAGCGGUGAAAUGCGCAGAUAUCGGGAAGAACACCCGUGGCGAAGGCGGCUCUCUGGGACGGUACUGACGCUGAGACGCGAAAGCGUGGGGAGCGAACAGG
rnacentral:rRNA from 1 species